UACAGAGGUCUCAAGCGUUGUUCGGAUUCAUUGGGCGUAAAGGGUGCGUAGGUGGCGCCGUAAGUCAGGUGUGAAAUUUCGGAGCUUAACUCCGAAACUGCAUUUGAUACUGCGGUGCUUGAGGACUGGAGAGGAGACUGGAAUUUACGGUGUAGCAGUGAAAUGCGUAGAGAUCGUAAGGAAGACCAGUGGCGAAGGCGGGUCUCUGGACAGUUCCUGACACUGAGACACGAAGGCCAGGGGAGCAAACGGG
rnacentral:rRNA from 1 species